rnacentral:lncRNA from 1 species
GGGGGCCGAGAUCAAGGGCCUUCUUGGCCCAGGCGGUGGAGAGCUCCAGAAGGCGGAGGAUGGCUGGGGUGCGGGCAGCGGCGAGGGUCGGGGAUCUCGGCGAGGGUCGGGGAGGAGCGCAGGAGGAAGAGGCCGUAGAGGGUCUCGCCGGCGAUGAGGUAGGACUUGAGGAUCCGCGGUUCGAGGGAGAGGGGGGCGAAGUCGGGAUCCAAGGAGGCGGCGAAGAGGCGGGCGAAGAUAUCAUCGCCGGAGCCGUUCUGCUUCUUGAAUCUGGAGGGGGUUAGGGAGGGGGGGCGAUGAUGAUGAGAGAGAGAGAGAGAGAGAAGACGAGGAAUGGGGAUGAUGAUCCCCUCUUAAAAAACUCUGGAAUGGGUUGAGGGUGGAGGGCGGUGGCCGGGAAAACGGAAAGAGAGAGAGGGCUCGUUUCCGAUGACGCUUUUUAGCGUCGUCUUAUCCGGCGACUACACCGACGCUUAUUAGCGUCGUCCUUUGCCGACCAAAUACUGCCGACGCUUGUGGAAAGCGUCGUCAAAAAAGCGUCGGUAAAACCGACUUUUUC